rnacentral:rRNA from 1 species
UACGUAGGGUGCAAGCGUUAAUCGGAAUUACUGGGCGUAAAGCGUGCGCAGGCGGUUUUGUAAGUCUGUCGUGAAAGCCCCGGGCUCAACCUGGGAAUUGCGAUGGAGACUGCAAGGCUUGAAUCUGGCAGAGGGGGGUAGAAUUCCACGUGUAGCAGUGAAAUGCGUAGAGAUGUGGAGGAACACCGAUGGCGAAGGCAGCCCCCUGGGUCAAGAUUGACGCUCAUGCACGAAAGCGUGGGGAGC